CCUACGGGAGGCAGCAGUGAGGAAUAUUGGUCAAUGGGCGGAAGCCUGAACCAGCCAAGUAGCGUGCGGGAUGAAGGCCCUACGGGUCGUAAACCGCUUUUGCACGGGGAUAAAACCCUCCACUUGUGGAGGUCUGCAGGUACCGUGCGAAUAAGGGCCGGCUAAUUCCGUGCCAGCAGCCGCGGUAAUACGGAAGGCCCGAGCGUUAUCCGGAUUCAUUGGGGUUAAAGGGUGCGUAGGCGGGCGUUCAAGUUAGCUGUAAAAUCGCGCGGCUCAACCGCGCACCGCAGUUGAAACUGGACGCCUUGAGUGCACAACAGGCAGGCGGAAUUCGUGGUGUAGCGGUGAAAUGCAUAGAUAUCA
rnacentral:rRNA from 1 species